UUAAGUCAAAUUUGUAUGGAGUUAGAACGUUUGUCUACGUUUGCCGCUAGGGGCGCUGUUCCAACUGCAUAGAAAUUUGACUUA
rnacentral:pre_miRNA from 1 species